GAUAAACGCUGGCGGCGCACAUAAGACAUGCAAGUCGAACGGAAGUCGUUGUAAUGAUUUUGACAUGGACAGAGAACUUGUUCGAAGAAAGUGAAGAUUGACUUACAACAAUGGCUUUAGUGGCGGACUGGUGAGUAACGCGUGAGCAACCUGCCUGUUAGAGGGGGAAUAACAGUGAGAAAUCAUUGCUAAUACCGCAUAUGCCAUAGUCAUCACAUGAUGAUAGUGGGAAAGGAGAAAUCCGCUAACAGAUGGGCUCGCGUCUGAUUAGAUAGUUGGUGGGGUAACGGCCUACCAAGUCGACGAUCAGUAGCCGGACUGAGAGGUUGAACGGCCACAUUGGGACUGAGAUACGGCCCAG
rnacentral:rRNA from 1 species